rnacentral:misc_RNA from 1 species
GUUUGGAUACUUGCUACCAUUUAAGUUUGAAGGCUUUUGAGAUUCAGCUCUGACCAGGAAAUGGUAGUGUGAGCAAUUCAGGCUUCAAUAGAAAUAUUUAUAUCCUUUUGUUUGUGAGCAACGUCAUUCUUAAGGUAAUGUUAGCAGCCAUUAGUCGGUGUUGGUGGUGACUGUUUACUACAUUUGUAGAGUUUACUUAUGCCUUAGAAAACUAGUAGAUUCUG